rnacentral:rRNA from 1 species
AUUGAACGCUGGCGGCAUGCCUUACACAUGCAAGUCGAACGGUAACAGGUCUUCGGAUGCUGACGAGUGGCGAACGGGUGAGUAAUACAUCGGAACGUGCCUAGUAGUGGGGGAUAACUACUCGAAAGAGUGGCUAAUACCGCAUGAGAUCUACGGAUGAAAGCAGGGGAUCGCAAGACCUUGUGCUACUAGAGCGGCCGAUGGCAAAUUAGGUAGUUGGUGGGAUAAAAGCUUACCAAGCCGACGAUCUGUAGCUGGUCUGAGAGGACGAUCAGCCACACUGGGACUGGGAAACGGCCCAGACUCCUACGGGAGGCAGCAGUGGGGAGUUGUGGACAAGGGGCGCAAGCCUGAUCCAGCAAUGACGCUUGCAGGAUGAAGGCCUUCGGGUUGUAAACUGCUUUUGUACGGAACGAAAAGCCCCGGGUUAAUACCCUGGGGUCAUGACGGUACCGUAAGAAUAAGCACCGGCUAACUACGUGCCAGCAGCCGCCGCAG